rnacentral:lncRNA from 1 species
CCGAAUGCAUCCCCCAUCUUCUUCUUUUUCUUCAAGACUCCAUGGAAGCUGAAGAUCAGCGAACCAGCAGGCCGAAGUAGCGAUUCCUCUCGGCGUCGAUGCAGCAAGCAACCGGAGCCGGAGUCGCUGCUGUCCGCCGUCCUGCUGCCCGUGCACAGCUCCGUCCCUCUCUCUUCCGCCCUUCUUGUUCGAACAUAGCAGAACAGAAGCAGAGACAGCACCACCGAGGGGAAGAUCGGAGCAGAUCGUCGUCGCGUCGGGGCACCGUCGCCGCCCGCGCACUCUGCCACCGCCCGAAAGCCCUCCACCUCUCUUUCAUCUCAUCAGCCACUGUUGACGUUCCCCUCCGUUUGCUGCUCGGGAUCUCAGAUCUGGGAAGACACCGGAGUUGGGGCAGCAGCUGGCGUUGCUGGACCGGAGCUGCCGCACCGCCGCCCGCGCGACGCCAUGCGCUCCGCCGCUGCUUCGCUCAGCUCGGUCUCCCUCUCGCCCAGCUCGUUGUUCCAGAGCUGCUGUCCAACCCCUGUUCCGCCUCUGUCCAGCAAGUGCAAGACCCGCCGGAGCUUCCUCCGACCACCUCCGGCCACCGUGAAGCCUCGCCUUGGUCUUGUUCAGCUCCUCCGCCCAUUCCCGAGCCCAACCAGCCUCGGAUCCGCCCUCCUUCGCCUCCAACCAGCAGCGAUCAGUGAGUGCAGAAAGUGGGUAUCGCAGAGGGUUUUGGCCCGUUUUGGCCGUUUUCCCGAGCCCGGAUGCUCGGCCCGCUUUGAGGAAAGUUGAUCCUCGCGUCGAGCCCGUCGUUUUGAGUGAGUUUUACUCACUAACGCCUUCUUAGUGCGCUAAUUAUACUUAAAGGUUGAUUAGUGUUAAUUAAGUGUAAUUAGGUUGUUAGAUUAGAUUUGAUUAGUGAUUAUUAGUUAAUUGCUUUGCAUAUUAGUUGUGUGAUUAGUGUAAUUAGAUAGAGAAUUGCUUGUAGUAUUUAUUGGAUGCUUCUUGGGAUUUUUCCCGUCCCUUAUCGGGUGUUAAUUAAGCAAAUCGGGCUUAUGUGGUAUUUUUAGGAAUUAAAUAUUAAUUUUCGAAAUUAAUUAUUUAAUUAUUUAUUUCCCGGAAAUUCAACUGGGAUGGCCAGUGACCGGGAUUUUAUGCUGAUGAUCGUGGCGCAGUCCGUUUAUUUAAUUGAGCUUUAUAUUGUGUUAAAUUGAAUUUAUUGUAUUUAUUUAUUUAAUUUUCGAAAUUAAUUAUUUAAUUAUUUAUUUUCCGGAAAUUCAACUGGGAUGGCCAGUGACCGGAAUUUCGUGCUGAUUGUCGUGGAGCAGUCCGUUUAUUUAUUUGAGCUUUAAUUUACGUCGAAUUGAUUUAAUGGUGCAUUUUUAAGUAUGUUAUUAAAUAAUGCAAUUUUGGUCUUGUGAUUGAGAAUUGGUCGGAUAUCGGUUGUUAGUAUCGAAAGUGAGUUGGUAAAUCACCUUGAGGAUGCACGUGGCCCAGUGAAUUGGAAUAUCACUUGGGAAAGACACGUGGCUCGGUGAUUUAAUAUGUCAUCUUGGCGAAAAGAUAGCCUUAGAGAAUGCACGUGGCUCGGAGACUCGGUAUGUCCUCCUGGAGCAUGCACGUGGCUCGGUGACAUAGUAUGACAUCUUGAGAGGGUCGGGUGGGACCGUAAAGCCACUAGUUCUUGAGAGGGUCGGGUGGGACCGAAAAGCCACUAGUUCUUGAGAGGGUCGGGUGGGACCGAAAAGCCACUAGUUCUGAGAGGGUCGGGUGGGACCGAAAAGCCACUAGUUCUCGAGAGGGUCGGGUGGGACCGUAAAGCCACUAGUUCUUGAGAGGGUCGGGUGGGACCGAAAAGCCACUAGUUCUCGAGAGGGUCGGGUGGGACCGCAAAGCCACUAGUUCUUGAGAGGGUCGGGUGGGACCGUAAAGCCACUAAAUCCAAGGAAUUGCUUGGUGUUGGAUGAAUGACCUAGAAAUGAUUCGACUAGGUCGAUUGAUCGAUGAUUCGAUCCGAGUGUGAUUUGAUGCGAUUCAUUGCCUUGGUUUGAUGUUGUGAAUUGAAUGAUUGAAGGGAGAUGAUCGUGAGUGGUCUUCCUAAUGUGAAAUCGACUAAGUCGAUUAGAUCGAUGCUUCGAUCUGUGAUGUGAUUGCUUGUGUGCCUAUUCGAACUGUACUAAUAUGCAGGUGGAAUCUGAGGCUAAGGUACGUCCUCUGACUCAUGUUGUGCGUAGGCAGCCCUAAGGUAUAUUAGUUUACUAAUUGGGUCUUAGGAGCUAGAACUUGCUGAGACGUGGUCUCAGUGGUUAUUGAAUAACCAUUUCAGGACCUGGAUGAGGAGCAUGAAUCUGAUGAGGAGAUCUCUGUUGAGGAACCCAAAGAGGAGUAUGUGGAGGAGGACCCCGAGUAUGACAUCGAGUACGACUCGGAUGAGGAUCGAAAUCCUAUCCUGUCUUGUCAGACCUUGUUCGCAUGUAAAAAGAUGUAGUUGUGAAUUUUCAGUAAGAAAAAUAUAUCCCUAGAAUAUGCGUAUCCCAUUGCUUUAUUGUCUGGGGAAUUAUAACUGCUUCCGCAUGUGCAUAUAUAAAAGAAAGGGUCGGCGAUACAUAGUCCUGGGAUAUCGCAUUUUUAAAUCGACCAAAAGUAAGGGAUGUGUGCGUGCCUGAGGGUCGGGGCGUGACAUCCCCUUUUUGUGGUAUCAGAGCAAUGGUUAGGUAUUGGAGUGAUAAGGUGCGAUGACCUAUGGGAUAGUAGUAGGAAAGACCUUUAAAUUCAUGACUGGUGCAUGUGUUUGAUAGCUGAUUGGUAGAAUUGUUUGUCAUGUGUGAAUCGCUUGCUUUUAAUCAUUGUGAAUUCGGAAGGCAGAGUGUUGACUCUGGCCAGCUUGAGCGUAAGAGUGCCAUCGCAGGUUGGUACUAGUGUAGCAGCAGUGAUUGAUCCUAAGCCCGAUAAGAUUGAUUUGAUGCAAGUGUUUCUUGGGAUCUGAAUGAGCCGGUAAGAUCAGGAUCAAGUUGUUGUUGUUGCUACCUUUGUUGAGGUCCAACCUGGAAGGAUAGUCAGGGAACAUAUUUCGAUUUUUGAGUCAAGAUUCAGCGCAAGCAGACUGGGAAUUCGGUCAGGGGAAAAGACUGAUGUUGAGGGAAGAGUAUUUUGUUCCACUCAAUAGGAAUGGUGGAAUAGUCAGGUCAGCAUUCAGACAAACGGAACAUGUUGUUCUAUGGAAGAUGAUAUAGAUCAGUCUCGUGUAUUAUGAGGGCAAGAAAUUGUGGUAAGUGUCGCCAGUACGGACAGUGAUUUAUGGUGUAUUCGCAUAAGAAGAUGGAAUCUUGACAAUAGUUACUGUUGUCACUGUUGGUAGAACAGUUCAGGAGAAGUGCGCCAUAGAACGCACUGUGGAAUUGCUGGGAUAGGUCUCUGGCACAAGAAGUAGUGCAUCCUAGCACUUGACAAGAGGUAAAAGACUCACCAGAUAGGUGUCGAAAUGGUGGAAGAAAACCUGGAUGAAUUCAGUAUCCAGGUAUGGUGAGAAGAACGGAAAUGGAACCGACCUGGCACUAGGCAGAGGAAGAAUGUUUUGGGGGAAAAUUCUAUCAGAGUAUCGUAGCAGAGUUUGGAUGAAGUUUGGGGAACUUCAGUUUAUUGAAAUAAGUGGAAGAAAGGGGAAUCACCAGUUAUUGUUCUUUGGAUUAAUAGAACCGAAGGUACGGAUGUGAAGAUUGAUGAAUGAGGAAUUCAUGCAUAUUAGUGCAUCGCUUUAAGGAACAUCAGUUUUGUAGAAAGAGAAAGGAAGAUGGUUCAUUGCAAUCAUGCAUCAACCAUAGUCAACUUAAUUGGGUGACUUGUUAUAAAGAGUGUUGAUGUCUUCAAGGAUUGACUUAAGGACAGAUUAUUGUCAGUUGAGAACCAGAAAGGAGGUGAUACUGAAGACAACACUUCGCACUUGAUUUAGCCCCUGUGAGAAUAAUGUAAAGCCAUUUGAUUUGACGAAUGCUCUAGCCGUUGUCAUAGACUUGACAAACUGAGUAUUUAAAGAAUAUCUAGAUCAAUGGUGAUCGUGUGGUGUAGUGACAUUCUAGGGUAUUCAUUAAGUGAUGAGGAUCACGAGAGCCCCUAAGAAUGGUCAUGUGAUUACAGGUUAAGGAAUCUUCAUGGACCUAGCCAAGAUCGAAUCAGUUGUUAAUGGACCGAGACUGACAUCAACGUCAGAGAUCAUAAGCUGUGGGGAUUGGACAGAUUACUACAGAAGGGUUGUGAAAGAAUUUUCAACAGCAGUACCAUCGUGGGCUUGAUCUCUUAAGAAAGAAGAAAAAAUUCAUCAGCAUAGAUAAGUACGAGGAUAGUUUCCAAAGCUCAAGUAAGAAUUGACUAUCGUACUCGUGCUAAACUUUUCAUUUGGCUCUGGAAAGCACGGAAUCUUUAGUGAUGUGUCAUGUAAAGGAUGGUUAUGCAUUGAUACAACAUAAGAAGAUUGUUGCAUCACCGUUCUGCCAGUUGAGACCCAAUAAGUGGAAUACGAAGCGGUGUCGUGAACCAUAAUUUUGGCAGAACUAUAAUAGUGAUAUCGGGUAUCACCUUGGAGGAUUGAAAUGAGUCAUUAAUGUGUUGAGCCGAGAGUCUUCAAUUGUGCAUAGACUGGUUAAAGUGUAGACUUUACUUGAAAAGACUUCCAAGCUUGGUUUUCAAAUUUGAGGUAGGCUACCUUUUGAAUUUUUAUAGCCACCCUCAAGAUUGAACCAAAUGUUCAAGUUAGAAUCAGCGCCUAGUUGGCAGACAAAGAUGUUCAGAAGAUCUUAUAAGAGGAUACUGGUAAGAAGGAAUCUGACUUUAAGAUUUAUGAGAAUGGAAAGUUCAGGUUCCAUGAGUGAUUGAAUACCCUUGACAGUGUAGCACUCAGGGAAAAGAUCUUGUCGGAAGUUCACUAUAGUAUUGCAGUUUUGACCAGAUGGUGCAAAUAAAUCAGAAUCGGCAUCAGCUAGAUUAGUAAGCUGAUAUGAAGAUAAAUAUUGCUGAGCAGGUUGCAAGUGUCAGAAGUGUCAGUAAGUGGAAGCUCGGUAAUGUGAAUCGGGAGAAUUUUUACCAUCACUUGAGAGUCCCAAGUGGAAAUGGAAAUAUAUCACAAUGGAACAUUGUGAUAGUCUUACUAAGGAUUCAGGGGAUUACUGAUACCAUUUGAGAAUAGUGGUCGAUCGAUAGAUGGAGUUGAUCCACUUUGGUACAGUACGAAUAGAUCUUGUUUUGAGUGUGUAACAUCCAGAUUUCGAGCUCUGAUUUCGAUUAGAUAAAUUGGGCAUUUCAUCGACGCGAUUACAGUGUUUUUCUCUGAGUUGGCCACUCAUGAGAUAACUAGACUAGCUGGGUGAGUUAUUAAGGACCUUAAGGCAAAUAGACGUGAGAAUUCGACCAAUGAUCGACUUCUCGACCGUGCUCAUCUUUAGAGAUCAUUACGGCACAGUUAAAAAUCGAAUUAAAAUCGAAGAUAGGUUGGCUCGACUGAGAUAAGUGACCAAUCGUGGGUGACCCCACUAAAUUGGAAAACUCUCGUCGACUGGCACUAAUUUGACUUUACUGUCGGUUUGGUACCCUGUGUCCGUAUUUGAAUCUUUGAGAUUUUCACGACAAUCGAGAGUCGUCAAUGUGUCGAGUGGGUUUAUUGUGGUUCGAAGAAAAUCGACCACGGGUCAUUUGUCCUAAAAAGUUCUGAAAACUACCUAGUAGCCUAGGUCACACUAAAAGCGUGUCGGAGUGAAAUUAACCGCCAAUCUAAGUUCGAUUUCAGAAAUUGAAGAUUCUAUCUUAUCAGAGUGGGUAUACCGAAGUGUGUGUGCAUCAGAUAAUUCGCCGGCAUGGAGUGCCGGGGAUAAAUUAUAUUUUGAAUCUAGCUCAGAGAUUAUCAAUUUGGCAAAGCUUUCAAAGGGUUCUUUCUUAAGCAGUGUUAUAGAAGAGGGUACAGAAUUUCAGUGGUGAAAAGAAAGUGAAGAAGAUUUCAGGCCAAAGUCAGUACAGUAGUCAGUGAUUGCGGUUGCCAAGAUCAGUGCUAGAGUUAUAGUAGAUCUUGACCAGAAGUUCCCAGUUUCAGCAGAUCAAUCAGAUAGUUUCCUUUUAAUCAGUGCAGAGCAAAGUGUACAGGAUUUCAGUCGGUUGGGAUGAGAUCAGAAAUCAAAAAAUCGCAAGUCCAAAGUCAACUAAGAAAUCGGUGUGUACAGUUGUCAGAUCAAUGUCAGAGUAAAGACUGCUCAGAACUGUCAGAAAGCUUGAAUCGUUGAGGUUCGAAGGUUCAUUAGGGAGUCGAGAAGAAGAGAUCAGAUGUGAAAGAUGGAGUGUCAUAUAUGAGAAGCUCAGUUCAGUUGUUGGUUCAGAAAGAACAGAUUUUGUGUACAAAGAUGAUCUCUUUGGUCAAAGUGGUCGGACAACGCCACGAGACCGAAUGAUCGGCGUGGAAAAGUGAGACUCGGUGAGACGACAAUACUCCCAUCCUUCGUAUAAGGAUUGGUAAAGGUUUAAAUUUCGAGGACGAAAUUUUUAUAAGAGGGGAAGAGUUGUGACAUCCAGAUUUUCGGGUUUUAAUUUGACUGGAUAAAUAGGGCCGUUUUGUUCAGUUGAAGCCAGAGAUUGUGAAUUCGGGAUACAAGUGGGCUAUACUGAUAAGAAAAAGUACCAAUUUGAUCGAUGAAAUAUUGAAUGAAAUUAUAGGGGUCAAAUUGAUUUGAUUCAAGUGGGAUUAAGGUUCAAUUUGGAAAGAAACCUUAGCAAAAUUCGUAUGCCCAUAAACCCAACUCUUUAGCCUACCUAAAUGCUUCUAGAAGGGGGCAUAAUUGUCAAAAAUGAGGAGUGGAUGACAGCUGAUGGUGGCCCACGGAUGGCUGACCUAAGAGAGAGAGUGUGUGAGAAGAAAAUGAGAAAUUGGUUUUCUCUUCUUCUCUCUCUCCCCUCCGUCGACCGAAUGCAUCCCCCAUCUUCUUCUUUUUCUUCAAGACUCCAUGGAAGCUGAAGAUCAGCGAACCAGCAGGCCGAAGUAGCGAUUCCUCUCGGCGUCGAUGCAGCAAGCAACCGGAGCCGGAGUCGCUGCUGUCCGCCGUCCUGCUGCCCGUGCACAGCUCCGUCCCUCUCUCUUCCGCCCUUCUUGUUCGAACAUAGCAGAACAGAAGCAGAGACAGCACCACCGAGGGGAAGAUCGGAGCAGAUCGUCGUCGCGUCGGGGCACCGUCGCCGCCCGCGCACUCUGCCACCGCCCGAAAGCCCUCCACCUCUCUUUCAUCUCAUCAGCCACUGUUGACGUUCCCCUCCGUUUGCUGCUCGGGAUCUCAGAUCUGGGAAGACACCGGAGUUGGGGCAGCAGCUGGCGUUGCUGGACCGGAGCUGCCGCACCGCCGCCCGCGCGACGCCAUGCGCUCCGCCGCUGCUUCGCUCAGCUCGGUCUCCCUCUCGCCCAGCUCGUUGUUCCAGAGCUGCUGUCCAACCCCUGUUCCGCCUCUGUCCAGCAAGUGCAAGACCCGCCGGAGCUUCCUCCGACCACCUCCGGCCACCGUGAAGCCUCGCCUUGGUCUUGUUCAGCUCCUCCGCCCAUUCCCGAGCCCAACCAGCCUCGGAUCCGCCCUCCUUCGCCUCCAACCAGCAGCGAUCAGUGAGUGCAGAAAGUGGGUAUCGCAGAGGGUUUUGGCCCGUUUUGGCCGUUUUCCCGAGCCCGGAUGCUCGGCCCGCUUUGAGGAAAGUUGAUCCUCGCGUCGAGCCCGUCGUUUUGAGUGAGUUUUACUCACUAACGCCUUCUUAGUGCGCUAAUUAUACUUAAAGGUUGAUUAGUGUUAAUUAAGUGUAAUUAGGUUGUUAGAUUAGAUUUGAUUAGUGAUUAUUAGUUAAUUGCUUUGCAUAUUAGUUGUGUGAUUAGUGUAAUUAGAUAGAGAAUUGCUUGUAGUAUUUAUUGGAUGCUUCUUGGGAUUUUUCCC